rnacentral:rRNA from 1 species
UACGGGGGGGGCAAGCGUUGUUCGGAAUUACUGGGCGUAAAGGGCUCGUAGGCGGCCAACUAAGUCAGACGUGAAAUCCCUCGGCUUAACCGGGGAACUGCAUCUGAUACUGGAUGGCUUGAGUUCGGGAGAGGGAUGCGGAAUUCCAGGUGUAGCGGUGAAAUGCGUAGAUAUCUGGAGGAACACCGGUGGCGAAGGCGGCUAUCUGGACCGACAUUGACGCUGAGGCGCGAAAGCGUGGGGAGCAAACAGG